rnacentral:rRNA from 1 species
CAGCAGCCGCGGUAAUACGAAGGUCCCGAGCGUUGUUCGGAAUCACUGGGCGUAAAGGGAGCGUAGGCGGCGUGGUAAGUCAGAUGUGAAAUCCCGGGGCUCAACCCCGGAACUGCAUCCGAUACUGCCGUGCUAGAGGAUUGGAGAGGUAGCUGGAAUUCUUGGUGUAGCAGUGAAAUGCGUGGAGAUCAAGAGGAACACUCGUGGCGAAAGCGAGCUACUGGACAAUAUCUGACGCUGAGGCUCGAAGGCCAGGGUAGCGAAAGGGAUUAGAUACCCCGGUAGUCCCUGUCUCUUAUAC